AAGCUUAUGCCCAAAUAAAUUUGUUAGUCUCUAAGGUGCCACAAGUACUCCUGUUCUUUUUGCUGAUACAGACUAACACGGCUGCUACUCUGAAACCUGAUUACAGAGUGAACCUCACCUGAGGGGAAUCAGGCAAUUCCCGAUACAGAGCAGAAGGUGACUGCAGUAAUAGACUGAGAGCCGGGCUUAAGUGGUGAUAAAGCUCAGCUGGGAAAAGUUCUGGAAGGAGAGCUAGGCAGAAAGCCUAGGGAUUAAGACCAGUUCUCCAGGCAGGCAGGACUGGGAGAGACCCUGAUUAAAAGGCUGGAUAGGAAGUGGCCAAGAGAAAACUGCAGCUCAGCUCUGAGGCUUUACGAAAAUACAAAUAACGGGAGAGCUGGCAACACUGUGACAGGAACCUUGUUUUUCCCAGUAUCCCUUUCUGUGGCUGGCGCUUUAUAUUUGAUAGAAUCAAGAAGCUGCAGCCUUAAGGGGGACAUUAUGCAAAUGACUGCACCUCUCUCUUCCAGCUAAUUGCAGCUGCUAAUCACUGCUCCUUAACUGGCCAGAGAUGAGCACUUUGAAAUAAGGUAAAUUUCACCCACUGUGAAUGGAGGAUUAUGUGCUGUUGAAAAGGCCUGCACUGUCAGGACUAUAUUCUGUUGUAAUUAGAAAUGAGAUAUUGAAUGUGAACCCUAUCAGACUUUAGAAAUAGAAUCUCUUGUCUCAUGCAUAUCUUUCUGUAUUGGGCUGAACUCCCUUGAACUUUGGAUCCAUAUUUGAGCCUCAUGAUUUGGUCUACCUCCGUAGUGCUAAUGACAUAUGUUGCUUUCUUCAUCAGUUGUUGUGAUGCACACAGUAUAGAAACAAAUUUGAAAAUGAUAAGAAAAUAUAACGGUGCCAACAUUUCCUAGUCACACAAUAUUAGGUGGUUUUCUUAAGGCCCAAGCUCCUGGAUUCAUGUGAUUAUUUGAGAAUUUUGGCUUUCAUUUUAAAAUGAAAGCAAGUUUCUAGCCCCAUGGCUUUGGAUAAAAACUUGAAAAUGUGAACCUUAAAGGAUCAAACACCAGAAGUCAAAUAACAAGAAUCCAAAAUGUGGUAUUUAAAAAAAUCUCAUGAUUCCAAUAUUAUGAUUUUUUGUGAGCCUGACUCAUUAUUUUUAAAUGCUUGGGGUUGGCAAUAGUGUGAUGUGCUGUAUAGAUGAGAAAGGGAGAAAGCUGGCCUCAUAGUGCUGGCAAAGAUUGUGUCCUGAACUUAAGUGAGCUGGUAUGGCAACAGUCUUGCGAUGAAUCAGCAGCCCCUGAAACACUGUAUUG